GAUGAACGCUGACAGAAUGCUUAACACAUGCAAGUCAACUGUGGCGGACGUGUUAGUAACGCGUAAAGAACUUGCCUCUCAGCUAGGGACAACAUUUGGAAACGAAUGCUAAUACCUGAUACUGUGAGAGAGCUUUGCGUCCCAUUAGCUAGUUGGAGAGGUAACGGCUCACCAAGGCGAUGAUGGGUAGCCGGCCUGAGAGGGUGAUCGGCCACAAGGGGACUGGGACACGGCCCUUACUACUACGGGAGGCAGCAGUGGGGAAUAUUGGACAAUGGACCAAAGUAUGAUCCAGCAAUUAGGUGUGCAAGAUGAAGUUUUCGGAAUGUAAAGUGCUUUCAGUUGGGAAGCGGUACCAACAGAAGAAGUGACGGCUAAAUACGUGCCAGCAGCCGCGGUAAUAC
rnacentral:rRNA from 1 species